GUGCAGCAGUUCAAGCAAAACACAGUUUUGAUUCUCUCCGUCGGCGUUGCUCUCUUGCUCAGAAGGUCUCCCUCAAGUCUCCACCUGAUUUUGGGAAUAAUCUAUAGGAGAAUAUCAUCGAGAUCUCAUCGUUAGCUAUGGAGCAGUGCCUGUGAUCGUCCCAAGAGUUAGUGAAGUCCACAUGCUGCUGGAAAGCUUUGAGCCCAUCCAUGGAGUUCUUCUCUGCAUAUCGACCCAUCCCUUUACGAUGCAGAACUGUCUGGUUUUUCACUGGAAGAACUUGAAGAAGUUAAGGAACUGCAUGCAAGUGAUACCACCAUUGACAAAGAGAAAGACUCCAUUGAACUAAGGCUCGCAAAGCUUUGCCUCGAAAGAAACAUACCGUACUUGAGAAUAUGCAGGGGAUCACAAUUAAAUAAUCAACGUUGCAUGUGGGAACAUGUAUAAUAUAAAUAUUUACACAUACGUGGCCCCCACCUCAGAAG